UACGUAGGCAGCAAGCGUUGUUCGGAGUUACUGGGCGUAAAGGGUGCGUAGGCGGUCCUAUAAGUAUGGUGUGAAAUCUCCAGGCUUAACUGGGAGGGUGCGCUAUAGACUGUGGGACUAGAGUGUGGGAGAGGAAAGUGGAAUUCCUGGUGUAGCGGUGAAAUGCGUAGAUAUCAGGAGGAACACCGGUGGUGUAAACGGCUUUCUGGACCAUAACUGACGCUGAGGCACGAAAGCGUGGGUAGCAAACAGG
rnacentral:rRNA from 1 species